rnacentral:lncRNA from 1 species
CUUCGAGAAUCAGAAAGAUCCUUUUCAAGUUUGAAUUUGUUCAUUUGGAAUCUGGGUUCUUCUACUUCAUUUUUAUUUACUUAUUUAUUAUUUUUAUUAUUUUUUCCCCUCUUUUUUUGAUUUCUUUUUUUUUUUAUUCCCUUCAACCUUUAGCCUAAUCGACCCACUCCAGUUUGAACUCGAUUUUAUUAACUCCAUCAUCUUCCAA